rnacentral:rRNA from 1 species
AGAGUUUGAUCCUGGCUCAGGAUGAACGCUAGCGGCAGGCUUAACACAUGCAAGUCGAGGGGUAACAUUGUGCUUGCACAGAUGACGACCGGCGCACGGGUGCGUAACGCGUAUAGAACCUACCUUUUACAGAGGGAUAGCCUUUAGAAAUGAAGAUUAAUACCUUAUGGUAUUGAGUCUCGGCAUCGAGACUUAAUUAAAGAUUUAUCGGUAAAAGAUGGCUAUGCGUCCUAUUAGUUAGAUGGUAAGGUAACGGCUUACCAUGACAUCGAUAGGUAGGGGUCCUGAGAGGGAGAUCCCCCACACUGGUACUGAGACACGGACCAGACUCCUACGGGAGGCAGCAGUGAGGAAUAUUGGGCAAUGGAGGCAACUCUGACCCAGCCAUGCCGCGUGUAGGAAGAAUGCCCUAUGGGUUGUAAACUACUUUUAUACAGGAAGAAACAGUGGUAUGUAUACCACCUUGACGGUACUGUAAGAAGAAGCACCGGCUAACUCCGUGCCAGCAGCCGCGGUAAUACGGAGGGUGCAAGCGUUAAUCGGAAUUACUGGGCGUAAAGCGCGCGUAGGUGGUUUGUUAAGUGGAAUGUGAAAGCCCUGGGCUCAACCUAGGAAUUGCAUCCCAAACUGGCAGACUAGAGUACAAGAGAGGGGUGUGGAAUUUCCUGUGUAGCGGUGAAAUGCGUAGAUAUAGGAAGGAACAUCAGUGGCGAAGGCGACGCCCUGGCUUGAUACUGAC